CUCCACAGCCUGAGGAAC
rnacentral:misc_RNA from 1 species